rnacentral:siRNA from 1 species
UCGGUUGGAAUCUCUACUAAU